rnacentral:rRNA from 1 species
GACGUAGGAUGCGAGCGUUGUUCGGAUUUAUUGGGCGUAAAGCGUACGUAGGCGGCUUGUUAAGUCUGGUGUUAAAGCUAGGGGCUCAACCCCUGUGUUGCACUGGAAACUGGCAGGCUUGAGUGUGGUAGGGGAAGGUGGAAUUCCGAGUGUAGCGGUGAAAUGCGUAGAUAUUCGGAAGAACACCGGUGGCGAAGCGACCUUCUGGGCCAUUACUGACGCUGAGGUACGAAAGCUUGGGGAGCGAACGGG